CUUUUGCCCAGAGCCUGAAAAUAUUGAAUCUGAAAAAAAAAAGUCAUGAAGGCAUGUCCAUAACUCACUGGGAAACUCCAUAGCGUCUCCGCAUAGCCCGUCACAGGCUCCUCGUGGUUUGGCCCAUAGGUCCGUCUAUUGCCCGUUAAUUGGAAACGAAGCUCUUUUGUGGAUCUCUUGCACUUAUCCGAUGCUGUGCAGAUCAUUGUGGAUGUUAAGUUGUAGUCUUGAACUGAUGACGUGCCACCUUGCCAAUCCGGACACUACAGUAUACCACAGGAUUAAAGAUCCCCUCCACCCCUUUUCACAAGGUGACACACAACCUCAAACAGGAUGGGCAGCUGUGUCAAGGUCAAUAAGGCACUGCAAGGGCAAGAGGAUGGAGGCUGAUGGAGAUGGAGGAGAUGUGUUCCCAUCCUGACCUUUGAUGCCAGCACGAAGGCAAUGUAUUGAAAUUUCCUGGAAGUCUAGGCGUGUGUGUCAUGGUGGGGGUAGGGGCAUAUGGGGAUGGGAGGGGGUCUUCCAGGAGCUACAGGAGGCUUUUCCAAUCGGACAGGAAGUACAAAUAUGUUUGCAUAUGCAUUAUCAGGGGCCUACAUGGUAAACACUCCUAUGACACACAUAUUUGGAAAUGCUGAUAAAAGCUUACACAUUACCACUCUUACUAAGUAAUACGCCUGCGUGAAGUGCACGUGCAGGGCGCAUGUACACAUGCAUGUGCUUAAACAAGUGCACACACGAACCAAAGGAGAUCAUUGAAAACAUCUGAAAUGCUGACAUUAACAUUAUAGUGUGACUAAUGUCCUAUAUAUAUAAUAUUACCUUUUAACUAAAGGAGUCUCUUAUGGAUGUGAAAAAUGUGAUACUAUAAGUCAAGGACUAAUGAGCUUUUAAAAGGCACUGUCAUAUUCUUCUUGUAAGUAAGGGUCAUUUGUUAUACUUUCUUUUUCAAGUCUUCAUAUCUAUUCUUCUUCUGAUAUGAGUCAGCUUUAACACCAUAUUGUUACCGCUGUUCUAUGCGUAGGACAAUGUUGACAGAUUGUUGCACUGUUGGCUCAAAGGGCUGUUUGCUUAUGUCUGAGCCAACAUGAGCGAGAGAGAGACAGGAGAGAGGGAGACAAGGUACGUGCUGCGAGCCAUGCUCCGUGACCAGGGCAGGGGUUUG